UGGGGAAUCUUGCACAAUGGAGGAAACUCUGAUGCAGCGACGCCGCGUGAGCGAUGAAGCCCUUCGGGGUGUAAAGCUCUUUCGGCAGGAACGAUAAUGACGGUACCCGCAGAAGAAGCUGCGGCUAACUACGUGCCAGCAGCCGCGGUAAUACGUAGGCAGCAAGCGUUGUUCGGAAUUACUGGGCGUAAAGAGUGUGUAGGCGGUUCUCUAAGUUCCGUGUGAAAUCUCCCGGCUCAACUGGGAGGGUGCGCGGGAAACUGGAGGGCUCGAGUAUGGGAGAGGAAAGCGGAAUUCCUGGUGUAGCGGUGAAAUGCGUAGAUAUCAGGAGGAACACCUGCGGUGUAGACAGCUUUCUGGACCAUCACUGACGCUGAGACACGAAAGCGUGGGUAGCAAACAGGAUUAGAUACCCCGGUAGUCCUG
rnacentral:rRNA from 1 species